AUCUCAUGAUAUUUAAGAAUGCGAUUAAAUAAAUGAAUAAAUAAAAACAAAACAAAAAAAAAAGAAUAGAGAAAAAAGUUAUAGGAUUCGAAUAUGAAUAACGAUAUAUCGUUGGUUAAAUCGAUCGAUUCGAUGAAAAUGAAUGACAGACGAAUAUUUUACUCAAAUUCACGCAUGUCUUUCCCUUUUCAAAUCUUAUUUUUUUUUUUUGUUUUUUUGUUUUUUUGUUUUUUUUUGUUUUUUUUUCCUUUCCUCGUCUUCGUUCUUUUUUAUCAACGAUCGUUACAAUUUUCGAAAAAAAAAUAACUGCAUUACCGACUGAGAUCGAAAAUGAAAAUAUAACAAAACUAAUGUAAGAGUUGAUAAUCAUUUAUAAUAGCGAAGAAAUACUUAAAAAUCAUUCCACAUUUUUAAUCAUACGUUCGCGUAAGAUUGGUAUACUUUUUUUCCUUUUUAAGAAACCCAAGUACAUAUGUGUCACUCUAAUGUUAAUCUCACCAAAUGUGUCAUCGAAAGAAGUCAAAUUAAAUACGAAUACAUACUUCUGAUUUUUUUACGAUUUCCUUGAAUGAAAAAAAAAAAAAAAAAAAAAAGAAACAAGGAAAGAAAGGAUAAAUACAGAACUACAAGUUUUUUACACUUUUGAACGAUUUUCUCGAGAAAGAAAAAGAGAGGAAAAAAGAGAUAAUGAUGAUGAAGCUCGAGAUACGAAAACAAAAAAAAAGAAAAAAAAAGUGAGUGUUAUAUACAUAUGUAUAUAUAUAUAACACAUAGAAAUAUUUUUAUUACGUACCUGUGUGCCAGCUUUGUUUCUCGAGUUAUCAAUGAACUCGUGUGUGUUCAAAUGAUCCAUAUCGAUAUUCCUGCAUGAAAAAGCAUCAUUAUAUAUAUAUAUAUAUAUAUCGGCUCUGUAUAAAUAAAAAAUCGUUCUGUGUACGCGUCCAAAUAAAUUAAUCUAGAUAGAUGACAAGAUUGAAGAGAUUCGUCUUUAUAUAUAUGCGUAUAUAUACAUAUAUGCUUCAUGUCCACAUUAAUAUAGAUCAAUCCUUCUAAGGGUUGCAAAUCUUUUCUCGUGAAAUACAAAAAAAAAAAAAAAA